rnacentral:rRNA from 1 species
CAGCCGCCGCGGGAAUACGUAGGUGGCAAGCGUUGUCCGGAAUUAUUGGGCGUAAAGGGCUCGCAGGCGGUUUCUUAAGUCUGAUGUGAAAGCCCCCGGCUCAACCGGGGAGGGUCAUUGGAAACUGGGAAACUUGAGUGCAGAAGAGGAGAGUGGAAUUCCACGUGUAGCGGUGAAAUGCGUAGAGAUGUGGAGGAACACCAGUGGCGAAGGCGACUCUCUGGUCUGUAACUGACGCUGAGGAGCGAAAGCGUGGGGAGCGAACAGGAUUAGAUACCCCGGUAGUCCCUGUCUCUUAUAC